GCGCAGCAGCACUGAACAGAUAUUGACGUCAUACGAAGAGUGCAGAUGGAUCAAUACGGUCGACAGAAGUUUUAUAUAUCUGGAGUGCGGAUAAAUUUUUACUGAGAGUCGUAUAGGAAUCUAUAAUCUAGUACUUUCCAAAAUACGCCGAGAGUAUUCCUGAUGGUGAAACGAGCGUUGCUUCGUCGAACGCAGCUAAAGAAAACAACAUCUAUGUAGUUGGUGGUACGAUGCCUGAAAUAGAGGGCGCUAAAUUGUACAAUACCUGUACUAUUUGGGGUCCCGAUGGAACUUUGAUAGCAAGACACCGAAAGGUACAUCUAUUCGACAUCGACAUUCCUAAUAAGAUUACUUUUCGAGAGAGUGAUUCACUCAGUCCUGGUAACUCCCUAACGACGUUCGAUGUGAAGGGCUGCAAAAUAGGUAUUGGCAUUUGCUAUGAUAUUAGAUUCGAGGAAAUGGCACGCAUUUAUCGGAACAAAGGUUGCCAAAUGCUGAUAUAUCCAGCGGCAUUCAAUAUGACCACUGGACCACUGCACUGGUCAUUACUUCAGCGUUUCAGAGCGAAUGAUAAUCAAUUAUACGUUGCCUGCAUAUCACCGGCUCGUGUUCCUUAAGCAAGUUACGUCGCAUGGGGACAUACACAGUUGACCAAUCCCUGGGGAAAGAUUCUUUACGAUUUGGAAACUCAAGAGAAUAUGGCAGUCACCGAUAUCAAAAAAAAAAAAAAAAAAAAAAAAAAAAACUGGCGAACCGUGUGUUACCACAACGAGACACGCGAUGCUAUUUGUCGCUUUAAAUUGUGCCGCAACUCGUUUUUGAGAUCUUUGCCAGGGGCGCGUUAAAACAUGCAGAAAAUAUAUUUCUGGCUUUUCUGGGGUUUAACUGAAAUAUGGCAAAUAACGUUGUAAAACAUAUGUACUUAUGACUUACAGAGUAAUUGAGUGUACAAAAUAUAUAGUAUACAAAAUAGCCAGCGAUUUAGGGCUUUAAAAGAUCAAAAGGAAAGAAAAGAAAAGAAAAGAAAAGAAAAGAAAAGAAGAAAGAUAAUAUGUUGUGGCAGUCUAAGUCGAUCUAAGAAAAUAGAUAAAGGGAGGGAGGGGCAAAGCUAGUUAAUCUGGAAAGAAUCCAAGCGUCAAUUUCAAGCAUUUACAGAGAAUCAAGCGGGCUGGUUAAAGUCGUGAGUUGAGCAAUUAUCCCGCGUUAGGUUCAAUCAGGUUAGUCCCACGCGAAAUUGAUCCAACCAUGCGAAAACGAGUGUAUUCUGAUUUCUGUCGCAGAUACUUCUGGCUAGUGCAGUACCUACACGGUGGUUGUUGAAAUAGCCGCUUCUCAUCUAUUUUCCGCAGCGCGGACAUCAUCCUUUGAUCCCUUACGACUAACGAAGUUUUCGAAGAUGUAUGGCAGUUUGAGAUUCUACUUGAAAAUGAUCAUGAUUGCGGUCUGUGUGUCGUCUGCUCUUCUUUUUGUCCUUCCGUUAAAGACUGGUGUAUUCUGUGCGGCUAAAGCAGUCACCUAAUGAAUUAUUGAGUACCAGGAAUGUUAGCGGUAAACAGGAUUGCGGCUAUGAAUGAUUCUCUAAUGUCUAUAUUAGAGAUGAAUUUGAUAAUUUAUCCUCAUAAUAUGCAAUCCGCUUUUAAGUGGAAAUCAUAAUUAACAAUUUCUGUUUGAUUAAAUAUGAAGAGCAGAUAAAUCGAUACGCUUAAAUCAA